rnacentral:rRNA from 1 species
UAAUACGGAGGGUGCAAGCGUUACCCGGAAUCACUGGGCGUAAAGGGCGCGUAGGCGGUCCUGUAAGUCUGAUUUAAAAGACCGAAGCUCAACUUCGGGUCUGGGUUGGAUACUGCAGAACUAGACGGCUGGAGGGGAGAGUGGAAUUCUCGGUGUAGCGGUGAAAUGCGGAGAUACCGAGAGGAACACCAGUAGCGAAGGCGGCUCUCUGGACAGUACGUGACGCUGAGGCGCGAAAGUGUGGGGAGCAAACCGG